rnacentral:lncRNA from 1 species
UCAGAGCCCAGCCAAGUACUAAAAGUAGGUAAUGGUGCCACACUUAUAGUGCAGUCUUCUACUGCUUCCAUUUCUAUCGCAAUUGGUAUUUCUGACACUCCCACAACCAUUGGUGUUAUCACUGGUCUUUUUGCUAUUUGAAUUUGAAUUUUUCUUCCUUUGGUUUUACAUGGACCUAUAAUUCCUUUUUGUCAUUUCCGUAGGAGAUUUCUUAUGCAUAAUUGAUCUUGUCUUUCUUUUGCUUGUCGAUUAAUUCUUUGAUAAUCCUCCCCUUCAUGAUUAUUACUCAUAAUCUUUCAUUCUUCUUUACAAAAUCAAUACUACCUUGAAUUUUAACUCAUAUAUUUGUAACCUUAAAACUAGUUCUUCUCACAUUUUCAUUCAACAUAUAAUUCCAUCUCUCAAACAAUCAAUUUCUAACAUUUCAUA